CUCUUCCUGCCAAUGGUGGUUGGAACCAGCUCACGAAGAGCUGCUCUUUCCUGACCUUUCCAGUGGGCAGAAGGGGUCCCAGAUGAACCUGCCAGUCAACUCUUGGGAUAGGAAAUCAGAUUGAGGCUGGCGAGGUGGCUUGUGGGAACGCAGAGAGGUGAGGCUGCCACACCCACUUGUCAACCGCUAAAGCUUAAUUAGGCCAGAAAUACUCUCCGGUUCCUGCUUCUGCAAGACAGAUCUCAGCUGUCACCAAGCAUCUGUGGCAUCCGGAAGGGACGAGCAGAGUUCUGUGGGCUGGAAGCUUGGAGAACAGAUGUCCCUCGUCUGUGCCAGUUAUGCACAGAGUGCCCAAUCUUAGCACCCCAGAAGCCCAGCGGAAGGCCAAUGAAGGCACUUGGAAGUUUGAGAUCCCAAGAGACCAAAUCAUCAGUUUUCUUCACUCAUAGGCAGCUGCCUUGGCACUUGGAGAUGAAGCAAUGAAUGGUCCCUGAGCCCAGCCCACAGGCUUGCUGACAAGGUGGCCAGCCCAGCACCGAGAAGCAGACACCGUGUGAAGCCCCAGGUCAGAUCAGCUUGUGGAGGAGAGUGUGAAGCUGGCCAGUGCUUUCACUUCUCUCAGCCCCAUGAUGGACUCAUAGACGCAGCGUAUGGGUAGGGAAGUGAGGGCUGAAGGCUGAGGAAGCUU
rnacentral:lncRNA from 1 species